UGCUCUGUAGCUUAGUUGGUAAAGCGCUCAUCCAGCAUAUAAGAUUCUUGGGUUCGAAUCUCAGCCGAGCAC
rfam:Aedes aegypti strain Liverpool supercont1.750 genomic scaffold, whole genome shotgun sequence.